rnacentral:rRNA from 1 species
UACGUAGGGUGCGAGCGUUACUCGGAAUUACUGGGCGUAAAGCGCGAGCAGGCGGCUCGACAAGUUCGAUGUGAAAGCGCCCGGCUCAACCGGGCGAGGCCAUUGGAAACUAUCGAGCUGGAGGGCAGUAGAGGCAGGCGGAAUUCCGGGUGGAGUGGUGAAAUGCGUAGAGAUCCGGAGGAACACCAGAGGCGAAGGCGGCAUCCUGGACCAACACUGACACUGAUGAGCGAAAGCCAGGGGAGCAAACGGG